UACGUAGGGUGCGAGCGUUAAUCGGAAUUACUGGGCGUAAAGCGUGCGCAGGCGGUCUGUUAAGACCGAUGUGAAAUCCCCGGGCUCAACCUGGGAAUGGCGAUGGAGACUGCAAGGCUAGAGUUUGGUAGAGGGGGGUAGAAUUCCACGUGUAGCAGUGAAAUGCGUAGAUAUGUGGAGGAACACCGAUGGCGAAGGCAGCCCCCUGGGUCAAGACUGACGCUCAUGCACGAAAGCGUGGGGAGCAAACAGG
rnacentral:rRNA from 1 species